CCUCAGUUCAAACGAGGUCCCUCUUCUUCUUCUUCUUCGACUCACCCAGGCAAGGGUGGAAAGAAAGAUCAACCACACAUUGAAAAGGAUCAAUGCAUGUGGUGUCACAAGACGGGACACUACAAGAAAGAUUGCCCAGAUUUUCUACGGCAUUUAAUUAAGAAAGGGUAUAAGUACAAAGACGAUGCUACAAAGAGGGGAUAGAUGGCUGAAAGUCGCCAAUGGAGUUAGAGCCGACGUUGAAGCAGUUUGUCAACUCACGUUAGAGUUAGAGAAUGGCUUUAAACUCCAGUUACAUAAUGUUCUUUAUGUACCCUCUUUGUCUAGAAAUUUAAUUUCAGUAUCAUGUUUGGCAGAUGAUGGUUAUAAGUGCCAUUUUGGCGAAGAACAAUGUGAGAUUUUAUCUGAAAGUCAGUGUGUUGGUCUUGCCAUCCGACAAGACAAACUUUA